rnacentral:tRNA from 1 species
GCGAGGAUGGUGGAACUUGGUAGACACGUACGUUUGAGGGGCGUAUGCCGAAAGGCGUGGGGGUUCAAGUCCCCCUCCUCGCA